rnacentral:lncRNA from 1 species
AUGGUAUCCACAUUGUUUCAAGAGCUUACUUCUUUGACUUUCAGUGGUCUUCCACUCAGACUAUGCUUGUUUAGAACUUCGGCAGCUUUUUUCAUGCUUUCUUCCAUCUUGAAUUCAACAACGACACUUACCCUUGACUUUCCUUCAGCGUCCAUUAAGAGCUCCACGUAUGUUACCUCACCAACUACAAAUCAGUUUCCAGACGACACAUAAACCAAGGGAGAAAAGCCAAGAAAACAAUGGGAAUUUAGAACAAUCAUCAGCAACCUUGUAUGGAGCCUCUGCCUUAUAAGAAAGCCCAGAAACACUCCAUAUGCUCUAAACCACCAAACUAGGCAUUACAGGUGUGCAGUAAAAGUAGGUGAGACUCGUUAACAAUUAUGUCCUUGAUUUUCCUCCCACCACAAACAAGCUAUUUCCACAGAUUUCCAUAUCAAUUUCCCUGUCUGGAAUACUCACUCAUGACUAGAGGCAAUCCAAAUCUAUAGGAAAGAAGUCUGCGCGCUUCACUUUUUUGGGGAAGGGAGGCAAACAGUUUUACAGAAUACACUCCCACGGGUGAAAGCAGGUAAACAGUGCACCAGCUGCAAUGCCAAUGAACUGAGCUCAAAUGCUAACUACCAGGACGUGCAAGUGUAUAUAUGCUCAAAGGCACACACACGGUGCGGCCGGCUGCAUAGGUGCAAUCUGCGUGACCGCCCGAGGCCCUGCACUCAGGAGGGCCACGCGCUUAGUUUAAUGCUCUGAAAUUCUUAAUUUUUUAACAAGAGGCCUUCAGUUUUCAUUUUGCAUGGGGGCCCACAGAAUCUGUAGCUGGUCCUGCAUAUGGCACUAGGCUCCAGAAUUGUUAGAAGUAGAAUGUUCGAGUAUCCAAUCAUAAACCAGAGCAGCAUCUGGAUUCUCUUCAGUGAACUAAGCCAGGCUUUAUUCUUCCUGCUUUCUCAUCCUUCCCAUUGAAAGACACAGAUAAAUGCAAAUUUAGAGCUCAGUUUGCAACUAAACAAGUUAAGACGACUCACAUGAUUCUGAACUACACAAAGUGGGGGUAGAAAACAAAGCAUUUCAAAAGAUUCGCAGAUUUUCCUCAAGGUUUGGAUUGCCAAUUCAUGACCACCAUGACCAGAUGUUAGAAUCCAUCGAGAAGACAACCACCUAAAUGGCUGCUGAACUUGAAGAUGGCACAAAGAGAACAAAAACUUGAAGUGUUAACUUGGAGAAAACAAUCUCUUAAGCAGGCUCUCCAAAGCCAAGAAAGUGCUUUUGUCCUCAGGAAUAUUUUUUUUUUUUAAGUUUAUUUUUAUGAUAGUAAAGCCGCCUCCAAUUCUGUGUUCAAGUUUGGUUUAACAGUACAAGGGUAAAAGUAAACCUCUUAAUGGCCUCAGCAAGUCCCGCCUAUUCUAAUUCCUUUGCUCAAAGAAUAUUCAAAUUAUGAGGAUUUUAAAAUAAUAGCAAAGAAAGAUUAAAAUGUAAGAUAAAAUUACUUUUAAAAUAAAAUUAACAAUUUAAAGGGCGUA